rnacentral:rRNA from 1 species
UGAUGGUGUGUGGGUUCUCCCUCGUACCUUCCGGUGCACUUCCUCACCCGGCAGGUUASCAUCAAUUUCGGUUAUCAUAAAAAAUUUGAGAGAAUGUGGCUUUUCUUCGGAAAAGUGUUAUAGAUCUCGAUCGAUGUGGUGACCGGGAUUGAGGAUUGCAGCGGAUACCCUCGUGGCUCGUCACCUGGCUUCUGACGGUUGCCCCGCCUUCGAUAGCUCGCUAACGUCGGUGGGACUCGAUCGUCUAGAUGUCAGACUGAUUGAUU